GUAGCUAUAUGUCAAAUUUUCCUUGUCAAUAUUUUCAACACGGUGCUUGACGCUCUUGAACUGGCUUCCUUCGCCAAAAGUGAUAACCUUGAUGGUUCCGACUCCACCGUCUCCCUCAAGGAUUUCGACACUUUUGAUGGCUUGAGGCAGGAUCUUGGGGAUGAGGUUGUCAGAGUCGAGGAUAAUGGACUUGAACAACUUUCCGGCCGGGAUUGAUGAAGUGAUCUCCAUAUCAUAAGUGAUGGCACCCAUGAUGAUUUCUCAAGAAUGGAAUAGUAUGAAAAAGGAUUGAUGAAAUUGUGAGAAAUGUGGGAAGUUGGAUUGCUAUUUAUAUUGGUAGAUAGAAAGUUCUCUUUCAUAUGAACUAUUGAGUAUUGACCAAAAUGGGAGGUCUUGAACGUGGUUGGGACACAAUGAAAUGAGAAGAUUAAUAAGGGUGUGGACGUGGCCUGAUUAUUACACAUCUACCAUUCCAUUAUAGACCAGCUUGCAGAGUUAUAUCUUGACAUUUAUAGUCUCUAUACGGUGUUUUUUUUUUUUUUUUUUUUUUUUUUUUUUUUUUUUUGGAAAGAAUGUGGGUCGAAUAAAACUUUAGUCUCACUAUACAAUCUAAAGUAACGAAAAUAAUGUAGAGGUACUAUUGUCCAUAUUCACAUUAAAUCACAUAUUCUACAGAAUCUACAACUUAUAAUCACUUGAAUUAUAAUUUAAACACCAACCAAACAUGCACAGAUGUAUAUAGUGAGUGAACGAUUAUGUCGUAGGGGUUUGAAUUCAAUAUAUAUAAGCCAUAAAUUUUUUCAAAUUAUCAUUGAAAUGAAGCCCAAACAGGGCUAAAUAAAAUUAUCAUUUUUAGUAUAAAUCGUCUGAUUUUCUUUGACAUGUAUGUAAUGGUCCAAUUAUUUUUCGAUCAUUUCAAAAGCCUCCCUCCAACGUAAAGGGGGUAUGGGUUUCAAUUGUAAGUUCAUUCAAGCCCUCAAACUUACUCAAUCUGUCUCUUUGAAUCGUUUCUUGAAAAUUCGCACAUUGAAAACGCUUUCCAGCUUAAAACCAUUCAACUCAAAGCUCUCAAAUUUAAUGAAAGAUGGCUUGGUGUCUGAAGCACAGAAACUGUUCUUUGGAAUGCCCCAAAGAAAUACAGUCACAUAUAAUGCUAUGAUAAGAGGAUAUUUUCAAAAUGGGUUUUUUGAACAAGCUAUGGAUUUGUAUAUUCAAAUGCCGGUUCGGGAUAUUUUCUCGUAUAAUACUAUGAUCUGUGGGUUAAUGCAAUAUGGGGAUGUUAAAGGGGCUGAAGAGAUUUUUGACUGUAUGGGGUGCACAGAUAUUGUCACUUGGAAUUCAAUGAUUUCUGGAUACAUUGAUAAUGAUUUGAUGGAUGAUGCAGUGAGAAUAUUUAAUGCGAUGCCUAUGAAAGAUGUUGUUUCGUGGAAUUUGGUUAUUGCAGGACUGGUGAAAGUUAAGGAGUUUGGUAAGGCUGAGCAAAUGUUUAGGGGGAUGAGCACGCGGGAUGUUGCAUCUGGUACUAUUAUGAUGAAGGGGUUUUUGGGAGAUGGUCGAAUUGAAGAAGCAAGGGAAUGUUUUGAUAAUAUGCCUAUAAAGGAUGUUCAAGCUUGGAAUACAAUGAUCAGUGGUUACGUGCAAACUGGACUUGUUGAGAUUGCGGAAGUCUUGUUUCAUAAGAUGCCUGAAAAAGAUGGGAACUCAUGGAAUGAAAUGAUGGAUGGGUUUGUAAGUGUUGGUAGGAUAAUUGAUGCCAUGAAGCUUUUCGAUGAAAUGCCUCAAAAAUGUGAAAGAUUAUGGAAUUUAAUAUUGUUGGGAUUGGUAAGGAACGGUUUGGUGAAAGAAGCUCAUGCCUUGCUAGAGAAAAACUCAUAUAGUAAUAUAGUGUCAUUGACGAAUGUGAUGAUUGAAUACUUUAAUAAUGGAAACGUUGACAGUGCCUUGAAAAUUUUUGAAUGGAUGCCUGUUCGUGACACAACUGUAUGGAAUGCCACUAUUUGGAUUGGGAGAAAAUGAUCGUAGCGAGGACAGUAUAAAAUUGUUCAUCAAAAUGAAAGAAGAUGGUAUGUUCCAGGAUGAAGCUACAUUUACAAGUUUACUUACCAUAUGUUCAAACCUUUCGUCCUUGAACCUUGGUAAAGAAAUUCAUGCAGAAGUAAUUAAGGUGGGGAUUAAUUGCUUUAUCCCUGUUAGUAAUGCAUUAGUGACCAUGUAUUUUAGAUGUGGAAAAAUGGACUCUGCAGUACUUGAAUUUUAUUCCAUGUCCGGCCAUGAUGUUAUUUCUUGGAAUUCUGUAAUUAGUGGAUUAGCUCACCAUGGGCAUGCUGAACAAGCUAUAGAGAUGUUUGAGAAAAUGAGAUUAUCAAAUGUGAAGCCUAAUCAAAUAACUUUUGUAGGUGUCCUUUCUGCAUGUGGCCAUGCCGGCCUUGUUGAACAUGGUAAAUAUUACUUUAAUAUUAUGCAAAAUGAGUAUUUUCUUCACUCAACAACUGAGCAUUAUACUUGUAUUGUUGAUCUGUUGGGUAGAUUUGGACUUAUAGAUGAGGCAAUGAAUAUUUUGGAUCAGAUGGGUGUAUUAGGACUAGAAGUUCCAGCAAGUGUUUGGGGAGCAUUGUUUGGAGCAUGUAGAAUGCAUGAUAACAUCACUAUAGGUGAGAUUGCUGGGAACAAGAUUCUGGAAUUAGAGCCUUCUAACUCUGGUGUGUAUAUGAUUCUAGCCGAAAUAUACCUGGCUAGUGGGAGGAAAGAUGAGGCAGAAAGGAUAUCGGUUCGCAUGAAAGAGAAUGGUGUUAAAAAGCAGCCUGGCUGUAGUUGGAUUGAGUCAAACGAUGGUGGCCAAGUAUUUCUUGCAGGGGACAAAACACAUCCUGAGUUUAAGUUCAUCUCCCAUGUUAUAGACUUGAUAUAUAUGGAGAUGGAGAUAGAACAUUUGAAAUCAGAUUUUGCUUCAUUCUCUGAAUCUAUAGAAGGCAUGUAGCUAAUAUUGAAGCAGCUGUUGCUUGAACAUUUGUCUGUGGAAAAUGAUCUAUUUUUUGGAAUAUUGAAGAAUGUGUAUUGAUGAGUAUCAGAAUCUCUAAAGAGAAGUCAUGGUCCAGCCAUCACGAGGAAGUGGAAGUGUAAUACAAAAGAAAACUAUUGAUUGCAGAAGGCAAUUGACCCCUCUUGGCCUAAUAUAAAUUGUGUGGCUAACAAAGGUAGUGGAAUGACAAUCUCAUGAUCAUAUUGUGGCUGACUACUAAAUUCAAAUAACAAUUUAAUCUCUUAGAUGGCCUAUUGUGUCCAGCCCCAUACAAGAUUCAGCAAAGGGACUGCUGAUCGCACAGGUAAGAUAUGUGUGUAUAAGUCAGAUGCUAUAACGGAUGAAUGAGUUUUCCAAACUGACUUCAUUUAUGAGGACAGGGAUGAAAAAUGAAGCCUCCUUUAUGGAUCUCUCCACCAUUAUGUCCCUGGAAAAUAACUUGAUUAACAUAAUGCUGGAACCUUGUAUGGCGAUGGUGAUUGCAUCAUUAGGCUGGAUCAUUCUUACGAGAACUGCGUAGAUGCUAGGCGGAAACAGACUUGAUGUUGGCCGUUCAUUCAAUUAUUCGGGGUGAAGGACCAUGGGGCGUUUAUCGAUGAACAGCGGAUUGACUGAGCUUUUGGCAUUGCUUUGUUUUUCUCUCCUUUCCUAUCAGCAAGUGCAGUCUUGAUUGAUAAUGGGAGUGGUUUGAAUGUUUGCACGUUGAGCAGUAUAUAGGAUAUUUUAAGACGCAUCAGAUACCACCUCUCUUUUGAUUGAUAUUCAGUAUCCCACAUCAACUGAGAAGGGAACCAGGUUGCUGGCUUACUUGCGUCUGAGGGUUUGCACCGUCGCUGUUAUCAGAAUAUGUUCCUCUCUUACUUCCUCACUGGAUACUUGCUCUUCUUUUGAUAUACAGACAUGGUCUUCCUAACUUUAGGGUCAUUAGAGACUUUUACGUGCUUCAUCUUUGUGUGGGAAGUAAAACUCUCCCAUUUAUUUCACCUCUUCAUAUGUCGCACUCUUUUAUGUUCGGAGGUCAGGUAUAUGUCCUUCGAUAUAUUAAAUAGUUGGGAAAUCCUAACCUCCAUUCUUGGUGGAACCUAAAAACUAAGUAAGGUUGUGUUGAUGCUUUGCUUUAUAAAAAUAAAGGGAUGCUAUUCAUGUGAUUAAUUUAGCAAUUUAAAUAAACACUUUCCCAGCUAUUAAAGCUGUAAAUUUGCAAAAAGAUUGAGUUCAGCUUGUUUUUCCGAUUUCACAAGUAAUUGUUUCGUAUUUUUCUCGCUGCUAUUCAUCGUGUUCCUAGUGGCUUUUGAUUUUAUGCAACAGUUUCAUUUUAUAUUUGUAAGCAGAGAAUUUGUGUACCAUUAAAACUUACCAAUCUAUUUUUUAAUAAAAAAAAAAUUCUACUCGUAUUUUCAUAGAAUUAUCUUUUUUCUUUAUUAUGGGGUAUGCUUGUGAUGUAUGAACUUGUUCAGUUUUGUUAAUCUCUGUUUCGAUACAUCAGAUAGAUAAAACCAAAUAUUGUGGCGUUAAGUGAUGAAAGUUCUUGGUCUUCUCCUCCCCAGAUUUUAAGGAUGAAUAAAGACUCAUUCGGUUUGGAUUGUUUGCAGUGAUGAUUUUACACUCGGGCAGAUUAAACAUUAUGGAUCCAUAAGAUGAAGCAAACCAUCACACAGUUAAAAUGAAGUAAAUCCUCUUCCAUUAAUUAUUUAAAUACGAAUUCAACCAAGAGUACUUUGAAGCUUUUCAGUACAACACUGAUCUUAUUCUGCAGAAAAUGCAAAUGCAGCAUUUCUAGGAAACAUAAAUCACUCAAUUGUAUAAUAUUUUAGGCAGUGUAAAUUUAAGCAACAUGUUUAAUUGUAGGCAUCGGGAUUUGCUUGGAGAUAAGCUUCUACAGUCUUGAAAAUUCCCAUGGCCUUCUCUUUACCUUCCUUGAUCUUCUCCUCGGAAAUCUGGGCAUCACCCUUGGUGUUGUAAAUGCUCCUGUUCUUGCAGAUAGAUCCUCCAUCAGCAGCCGGAACAAUUUUGACAUGGUAAUUGAUCGACUCCAGAACGUCCAUCAGAGCAUCCCCUUCAAUGAUGCUGUAGCUAUAUGUCAAAUUUUCUUUGUCAAUAUUUUCAACACGGUGCUUGACACUCUUGAACUGGCUUCCUUCGCCAAAAGUGAUAACCUUGAUGGUUCCGACUUCACCGUCUCCCUCAAGGAUUUCGACACUUUUGAUGGCUUGAGGCAGGAUCUUGGGGAUGAGGUUGUCAGAGUCGAGGAUAAUGGACUUGAACAACUUUCCGGCCGGGAUUGAUGAAGUGAUCUCCAUAUCAUAAGUGAUGGCACCCAUGAUGAUUUCUCAAGAAUGGAAUAGUAUGAAAAAGGAUUGAUGAAAUUGUGAGAAAUGUGGGAAGUUGGAUUGCUAUUUAUAUUGGUAGAUAGAAAGUUCUCUUUCAUAUGAACUAUUGAGUAUUGACCAAAUGGGAGGUCUUGAACGUGGUUGGGACACAAUGAAAUGAGAAGAUUAAUAAGGGUGUGGACGUGGCCUGAUUAUUACACAUCUACCAUUCCAUUAUAGACCAGCUUGCAGAGUUAUAUCUUGACAUUUAUAGUCUCUAUACGGUGUUUUUUUUUUUUUUUUUUUUUUUUUUUUUUUUUUUUUUUUGGGCUCAAAAUUUUUCUUUUUUUUUUUUUUUUUUUUUUUAAUAACUUGUAGGACCUAAAAUUUGCCUUCUAAUGUCGUAGGAAGUACAUCGUAGACUUGCUAUUUGACUUGUACUGCAUCUAGAGUUUCUAUUUACCGUUUACUUUUUAUUAAUAAUAAAAUUAGUGAAGGAUUUAUUGCACGUCUUCAACAACGAAAUCGUGAACACGAACUUACAAUAACAGUUAGGGUCUGUUUGAUUGUAAAGAUGAAAUUGAAUUGCCUAGAAAACGAAUUUCAGAUAAUCGAAUUGCUUAGAAAUUGUUUUUUUGAGAAUUGUAAAUUAUUGUGUUUGAUUGGUAUAAUUUUUUACGUGAAAAAUGUUGAAAUAAAAAUAUUUUUUGGUGUACGUUUGGCUUUGCUUUACAUGAAAAUUGUUAAAUAAAGGGAUAUAAUUUACUGGUAUUGGGGAUGAAAUUUGUUCCCACUGCCCAAAAAAAAAAAAAAAAAAAUCUAUCUUUUGGUGUUCGUUUAACUUUGUUUUAUAUGAAAAUUGUCAAUUAAAUGGAAAUAUUUUUUUAUAAUAAUUCUUAGAAUUUGUUUCUAUUACUAAAAAAAAAUUUUAAAAAAAUGCUACAAUAACCGGAAAUUCCAAUUGAUGCCACAUAAGCCAAUUUCCAUGAAUUCAAGGAGCUAUGAAAUUGGCUUGUGUGGCACCAAAGAUGAAAAUUCAAUUCUAGGUAAAAAAAAAUGGCUACCAACAAGGUUAAAUCGGAAGGUGGAAUUCUAAUUUCAUUUUCCAUGAAAUUCCACCUCUAAUCAAACACUACCUUAAUUUUCUAGUCAAUUACCGAUUCUUCUUGUAUAAAUACGAUCACUUGCAAGUUGUUUGGUCUUGCAACUUGCAAGUUAUCGAGGCCCUACAGCUUUUAUGCUGUGUGGGUGGCGUGGGGUGGGGGUGGAGCGGAGGAUGGGAAAGUGAAGUGGCAGUGGAAAAUCUACAAUAAGAAGACUUGUUUAAGAUAAAAUGUUGAAUGAUCAAUUUCUAAGUUGAAUAUUAAACUAAUUCACACAGGAGAAUGUUCUGUGUUACGCCAAAUUUGGGUUUUUUGACUAUCCUUCGUUCAAUUUCAUUAUCCAUUCUAACUUAAAAGGGUGCCAUUAGUUAUUGUAAGGAGAUUACUUCCCCAAUCCUUGUGGCCUAGGUGUUAAGGACAACGUCUUUAACUUGCCAACUAUCUUUGUCUUCAAUACGUUCGAGCGUAAGAGAGCCAGUUUAGAAGUGAGGGGUAAAGUUAUUGAAAUUUCUACUGGUAACAUAAUAAUGAGUCGAAAAAAUUAGCCAAUGUAACUGUUGUCAAAUCAAUGACUAUUACAAUCAAAAGAAAGAAGAAAUAGAAUGAAGACGAAGCGAGGUAUGCUAUAGAAAUCUCUUUAAAACAUAUUUCACUAUCCAUGAAGUGGUGCCAACAUGAUAAUUGAAUGUUUAUCUUCCAAGAUGUAACAUUUCUACCAAAAUAAGCAGUCCACUACACCAACCUUGUCGAUUGAAUCAAAGUGUUGACAAUAUUCAUCUUGAACGGAACAAAUUAAAAUAGUCUAACAAAAUUUUAUUUCUGAAAAUAAUUCACACAGAAUUUUAUUUUAGCAAAAUAAAAAAAACAGAAUUUUGAAAGAGAGAACAAAAUUAGAAAUCAAUUAUAACUUGAAUUAAUUUGGUGCAGAAAAAUGAAACUAUGCGGUCGCAUAGAUUUGUACUAUGCGACUGCAUAGAACAAAAAUCUAGCCAUUGGUGACUGGUUUUGUUUGAAAUUUUGGUGGCUUUUUAAUGGUAUUUGGCACCACUUUGUACAGCAUUGUUGAUGGCUAUAUAUAGGAAGUUGGUGAUCAAUGGAAAAUAUAGAAAACACAUAGCCGCAUAUGAGAUUACAUUAUUCAUUCCAAAAUUAUUGCAAAUUCAAUUUCUCUCCAUAUUCAAAGCCAUUUUCACUUGUUCAUUUUUUAAGAUCACAUUGCUUUUGGUGUUCAUCAUUAAAGGCUUGUUUAAUCCUGCAAACUAUUUGCCAAUUAAAUCCUUAAAAGCAUUGUGGAGGAGACAAAUAUCCUUUUAGAACAACGACUAAUUUUCGUGUUCAAGUCUUCACCGAAUUUUAUAUUCAUCAUCUUCUUCUUUUAUUUUCUCCAUUGUUGUAAUUUUUUACUAACAGCUAUUGCUGUCGUUUUGCUCAAAAAAUUCAUUAUCUCAAAAUCGUUGAGUGCUAGUAAGAUGCAAAUUAGUCAUUUCAAGUCAACUUAUCUAAAAAAAAUUUAAGUGUAAUACUUUUCAAUCAAUUAGUUAUCGAUUGGAUGGUUUUGUUAUUUUUAUUUCAUUCCAAAGAAUUAUUAUAUGAAUAUAACACUUAUAGCAAUUGUUAUAGGGUCUGAUAAAGAAUAGAGAUAUAUACUAUUAUGCUUUGCUUGACGUAAAUGGAAUGUUCUUGUGUUUAAAGCAUUUUUCCUAUUCGGAUUUUCUAUAGAGAUAUGAGAAGAUCGCAUGUGAGGAUAUAUCAAAUUCUACUUGAGAGAUAUUAUUAAAUAAAAUAAUAACGUUGAUCAACAAGAAUAAAAAAGUGUUGUCAUGGUCUUGAGUUAUUUUAAAAUGGAUUAAUAAAGGAGGAUUCAAAGUCUUAGUUCGUCAAUUCUAUCAAUUUUACAAACACUUCUUAAUUGCUCACUAGAUUAGGUUAAAUAAUUAAUAUAAAAUCAAUCAACUAAAAAAUUGGCUAUUCAAUUGGAGUUAAUAUUAAUUAAUAUUAAUUAGAACUAGAUUAAUUACACAGUCUUCAAGGAACAUACUUUAUUCACUACUCUAUUACUCAGCUACAGUACCGAACACUUGAAAAAUUUCGUAAAUCAGCAUCGUUAUGCUCGAUCAUUUAUUCGAGAACCUGCAUAGAUGCUAUUUAUGUGGUCAAUAUAGCAAUUUAAAUAAACACUUUCCAUCCAGAUGUUAAAACUGCAACUUUGCUAAUAGAUUGAGUAAAGCUUCUUUUUCCAAUUUCACAAGUAAUUGUAUCCUAUUUUUCUCACUGCUAUUCAUCUUCUUCCUAGUGGCUUUUGAUUUUAAGGAACAGUUUCAUUUUAUAUUUGCAAGCAGAGAACAUUCAUUGCCCUUUAAAACAUUAACCAAACAUGUUUGGUCGCUUGUGAUGUAUCAACUUGUUCUUUUGUCAGGCGGAGGGAGAGGGGGCUGGGCUGGGGUACAAGCCCAAAAGCAAAUAACUUGUGAAAAAUGGAAAAUUCAGCCCAAAUUAUUGGAGAAACAAAGAAGAAUGAAAAUUUAGCCCAGCCCAAAAAUUAAUUUUAGCCCAAUUAACUUCAUUCCCAACCCAAGCCCAAUGUUCAAUUAUUCAAAUUUAAAUAGUUCAUUUAUAAUCAAAUUAGUUUAUUAUAUUAGAAAUAAUUUUUAUUGAUUAAAAUAAAGAUAAAUAACUUAUUGUAACAUGUCACAUGUUUGACUAAGCUUAAAAGUAAUUAAUUUUUUUCUAACGUAUUUUUUCAUAUGUUCCUUAUUUAUAUUGGUGAGUUAUAUUUAUUUCGAUCACGAAAUGGAUGUUAUUAUCAAAAUAAGUAAUAUGCUUCAUAUUUACUUUUAUCGGUUAAAAAUAUGUUUAUUAGAACUUUGUCAUAAAUGUUUUAAAAUAUAUCUUAACCCAUUUUGUCAUUAGUGUCAAGAGUUUAAACUUUUAAACUAAAUCUCGAGUGGCAAAGAGAAUCUAUGAAAAAAAUUCAAUUUUCAGCUCAUUCUAACAUAUUUUUGUGGCUCCGCCCUUGAUAUAAUUGUCAAUAUCUGUUUUGAUACAUCAGACAGAACCAAAUAUUGUGGCCUUAAUUAAGAAGGUUUCUUGGUCUUCUCCUGCCCAGAUUUGAACUGUAAAAUGAAGUAAAUCCUCUUAUAUUGAUAAUUUAAAUAUGAAUCCAAACCAGAGUGCAUUGAAGCAUUUCAGUACUACAAUACAUCUUAUUCAGCAGAAAAUGCUAAUGCAACAUUUCUCGGAAACAAAAAUCACCCAACUAUAUAUUUUUUUAUGCAGUGUAAAUUUCAGCAACACGUUUAAUUGUAGGCAUCGGGAUUCGCUUGGAGAUAAGCCUCGACAGCCUUGAAAAUUCCCAUGGCCUUUUCUUUACCUUCCUUGAUCUUCUCCUCGGAAAUCUCGGCAUCACCCUUGGUGUUGUAAAUGCUCCUGUUCUUGCAGAUAGAUCCUCCAUCAGCAGCCGGAACAAUUUUGACAUGGUAAUUGAUCGACUCCAGAACGUCCGUCAGAGCAUCCCCUUCGAUGAUGCUAUAGCUAUAUGUCAAAUUUUCUUUGUCAAUAUUAUCAACACGGUGCUUGACGCCCUUGAACUGGCUUCCUUCGCCAAAAGUGAUAACCUUGAUGGUUCCGACUCCACCAUCUCCCUUAAGGAUUUCGACACUUUUGAUAGCUUGAGGCAGGAUCUUGGGGAUGAGGUUGUCAGCGUCGAGGAUAAACGACUUGAACAACUUUCCGGCUGGGAUUGAUGAAGUGAUCUCCAUAUCAUAAGUGAUGGCACCCAUGAUGAUUUCUCAAGUAUGGAAUAAUAUGAAAAAAGAUAGCUAAAAUUGUUUGGUGG
rnacentral:lncRNA from 1 species